rfam:Rhodobacterales bacterium 65-51 scnpilot_p_inoc_scaffold_241, whole genome shotgun sequence.
CACGGUGACCGGGCCCCUCUGGCAAGAGAUCGGCGCUCUUGUGAUGUCGGCACCUCGC